UAGAGUUUGAUCCUGGCUCAGGAUGAACGCUAGCUACAGGCUUAACACAUGCAAGUCGAGGGGCAGCAUGGGAGUUUGCUUGCAAACUUCCGAUGGCGACCGGCGCACGGGUGAGUAACACGUAUCCAACCUGCCGAUAACUCGGGGAUAGCCUUUCGAAAGAAAGAUUAAUAUCCGAUAGCAUAUCAAGGUCGCAUGAUCUUGAUAUUAAAGAAUUUCGGUUAUCGAUGGGGAUGCGUUCCAUUAGUUAGUUGGCGGGGUAACGGCCCACCAAGACGACGAUGGAUAGGGGUUCUGAGAGGAAGGUCCCCCACAUUGGAACUGAGACACGGUCCAAACUCCUACGGGAGGCAGCAGUGAGGAAUAUUGGUCAAUGGGCGGGAGCCUGAACCAGCCAAGUCGCGUGAGGGAUGACGGCCCUAUGGGUUGUAAACCUCUUUUGCCGGGGAGCAAAGUGCCGCACGUGUGCGGUUUGGAGAGUACCCGGAGAAAAAGCAUCGGCUAACUCCGUGCCAGCAGCCGCGGUAAUACGGAGGAUGCGAGCGUUAUCCGGAUUUAUUGGGUUUAAAGGGUGCGUAGGCGGACGCUUAAGUCAGCGGUAAAAUUGCGGGGCUCAACCUCGUCGAGCCGUUGAAACUGGGUGCCUUGAGUGGGCGAGAAGUACGCGGAAUGCGUGGUGUAGCGGUGAAAUGCAUAGAUAUCACGCAGAACUCCGAUUGCGAAGGCAGCGUACCGGCGCCCAACUGACGCUGAAGCACGAAGGCGUGGGUAUCGAACAGGAUUAGAUACCCUGGUAGUCCACGCAGUAAACGAUGAAUGCUAGUUGUCCGGGGCGAUUGAGUUCUGGGUGACACAGCGAAAGCGUUAAGCAUUCCACCUGGGGAGUACGCCGGCAACGGUGAAACUCAAAGGAAUUGACGGGGGCCCGCACAAGCGGAGGAACAUGUGGUUUAAUUCGAUGAUACGCGAGGAACCUUACCCGGGCUCAAACGCAGGAGGGAUGUUUUUGAAAGGAGGCAGCCAGCAAUGGUCUCCUGCGAGGUGCUGCAUGGUUGUCGUCAGCUCGUGCCGUGAGGUGUCGGCUUAAGUGCCAUAACGAGCGCAACCCCUACCUACAGUUGCCAUCGCGUGAUGGCGGGCACUCUGUGGGGACUGCCUGCGCAAGCAGUGAGGAAGGCGGGGAUGACGUCAAAUCAGCACGGCCCUUACGUCCGGGGCGACACACGUGUUACAAUGGCAGGUACAGCGGGAAGCCACCCGGCGACGGGGCGCGGAACCCGAAAACCUGUCUCAGUUCGGAUUGGAGUCUGCAACCCGACUCCAUGAAGCUGGAUUCGCUAGUAAUCGCGCAUCAGCCACGGCGCGGUGAAUACGUUCCCGGGCCUUGCACUCACCGCCCGUCAAG
rnacentral:rRNA from 1 species